AGGAGCAACAGCCCUAGUGGCGGGGCCGCUCUGGAAACCUGGAUUCAGCUCCGGCAGGAACUCCGUCUGCAGGGCCUGGAGGCUCCGGGGCGGG
rnacentral:pre_miRNA from 1 species